rnacentral:lncRNA from 1 species
UUCGAUGAAAAGUAGCCGGAACCGAAUGUUCUUUCUUCUUUUGGGUUGUUUUUGUGAAGAUUUCAGAAAUUUUGGGAUCGGAUUUAGGUUUAGGAGGGGCGAAAUAGAAAAAAUAGCUUUCUUGGGUUUUUCUGGCCACCGCGAGCGGCAGCGCCAUCGCUAGUGACCGGUGGCCGGCUCGACAGCCGAUAGCCAGGCCCCUGGCCGGAGCGAGGGCUAAGAGAGAGAG